rnacentral:rRNA from 1 species
UACGAAGGGGGCGAGCGUUGCUCGGAAUCACUGGGCGUAAAGCGCACGUAGGCGGAUUGCUAAGUCAGGGGUGAAAUCCUGGAGCUCAACUCCAGAACUGCCCUUGAUACUGGCGGUCUCGAGUCCGGGAGAGGUGAGUGGAACUGCGAGUGUAGAGGUGAAAUUCGUAGAUAUUCGCAAGAACGCCAGUGGCGAAGGCGGCUCACUGGCCCGGUACUGACGCUGAGGUGCGAAAGCGUGGGGAGCAAACAGG